UACCUGGUUGAUCCUGCCAGUAGUCAUAUGCUUGUGCUCAAAGACUAAGGCAUGCAUGUCUAAGUAUAAGUAUUAUACAGCGAAACUGCGAAUGGCUCAUUAAAACAGUAAUAGUUUAUUUGACAAUCUAACUUAUAUGGAUACCCGUAGUAAUUCUAGAGCUAAUACAUGCUGUACUCCCGACUUCUUGGAAGGGAGGUAUUUAUUAGAUAAUAACCAAUAUUCCUUCGGGUCUAUCGUGGUGAAUCAUAAUAACUGAUCGAAUCGCACGGCCCUUGCCGCGAUAAGUCAUUCAAGUUUCUGCCCCAUCAGCUUUGGAUGGUAGUGUAUUGGACUACCAUGGCGUUCACGGGUAACGGGAGGAUUAGGGUUCGAUUCCGGAGAGGGAGCCUGAGAAACGGCUACCACAUCCAAAGGAAGGCAGGCAGCCGCGUAAAUUACCCAAUCCUGACUCAGGGAGGUAGUGACAAGAAAUAACAAGGCGGGUAGCCUAGCUACUGGAUUGGCAAUGGAGCCGAAUUUACACCACCUUAGUGAGGGACAAUUGGAGGGCAAGUCCUGGGGCCAGCAGCCCGCGGUAUUCCAGCUCCAAUAAGC
rnacentral:rRNA from 1 species